ensembl:ncRNA C23G10.14 ncRNA
GUACUAUGAAUGAACAUUCUUCGUCAUCCUCUUUCUCACUGCUUCGUCAAUCUUUACUAUCAGUGGAUUUGAAAAAUGCCGUGGAACUUUCUCUGAGCUCCAAACAUUUUCACGAUCAUAUAAAAGAGCUAUUCAAAGAUCGUGUUUCUUUGUCCGUUCAUAUGGAUGAAAUGGAUAAAUUCAUAAGAUUGCCCCGAAAGGAUCAAGAAGAUGUUAGAGAGGAUAUUUAUACUGUUGAAAAUGGAUUUAGAAGAUCCGAGUUUUGAAGAAAGAAAUCCUGAGACGUUGAUCAAACUGACCAUCGGAGAUGUUGCUGUAUCUACCUUUGGAAUUACGAGCACCUAUUGGGAAAAUGAAAUGGAAGGAGUUUCGAAGAUGACAGAUUAUCUUUUGUAAUUGUUUGGAGGCCCAAUUGAAGAAAUGUCAAUUACAGAGAUAAAUUUUGAUGAUGAGUAUGCUACUUUUGUCAACUGGAUCGAAGCGAAAAAGCCACCAAUGAUAUUUAUCGUGUUCAAUUGAAACUUCCAACAAUUAUUUGUUUGAUUUUGACAGACAAAACGAAGAUGGAUACUACGUUUCGUACACAAAAGUCUUGCUUGACAAUUUGAAUGUCUGCGGACAAUCUGUCACAUACAAACUUAUGUAAAACGUCUGUAAACAGGCUGGUACAGUCUAGCAGAAUACCAAAUCUGGAAAAACACUUCAGCGUUUACGAUUUCACCUUUUCAAACCUAAUAAAUAAAUCCUGUUUAUUAA